AAAAAGAAAAAGAAAAAGAAAACCAACAAGGAAGAGGGUAAAUGUUCAAGAAACUCUUCUCCAAAUCCAAAUUCCACUUGGAUUCCACUCCGGGAGGAAAGUCCAUGUGAAGACACAGUGAGAAGGCAAAAAGGCAUCCAUCCGCAAGCCAGGAAAAGAGCCCUCACCAGAAACCAAAUGUUGUGAGAACUUGAUCUUGGACUUCCCAGCCUCUAGAACUGUCUCACAUGAAGGAAGACUUUCACCCUGAGGACAAGGCCCCCGCAUGCAUUCUCAAGCUCUUGUCAGCGACCCAUUUUGUGAAUGGAGACAUUUCUGCUUUGAAGUCAUAAUUUAUCCUGCAAGAGCUGCUAAAAGAAGCACUUUUAAACUCAGAUCUGAACGAAGGCUGGGAAUUGGUUGUUGCAAGUAGAAAAUGAGUUACAGAUGUACAAAGACAUUAGGAGGCUGCCUGCAACAUAGAAGCAAAAUGACCUGCCAACAUGGGCUGCAUUCGCACCAAAACCGUGAAGAAGGCGGCCUGGGGCAUCAUAGAAAAGUACUACACGCGGCUGAACAACGACUUCCACACGAACAAGCGCGUGUGUGAGAAGAUCGCCAUUAUCCCCAGCAAGAAGCUCCGCAACAAGAUAGCAGGCUAUGUCACGCAUCUGAUGAAGCGGAUUCAGAGAGGCCCAGGAAGAGGUUUCUCCAUCAAGCUGCAGGAGGAGGAGAGAGAGAAAGGACAGAAAAUUACGAUCCUGAGGUCUCAGCCUUAGAUCAAGAGAUAAUUGAAGUAGAUCCUGGCACUAAGGAAAUGCUGAAGCUUUUGGACUUCGGCAGUCUGUCCAACCUGCAGGUCACUCUGCCUACAGUUGGGAUGAAUUUUAAAAUGCCUCGGGGACCUGUUUGAAUUUUUUCUGCAAUGCUAUAUUAUUUUCAAUAAA